rnacentral:lncRNA from 10 species
GAAGUGGGUGGGGACGAGGGGCACCGGUAAUGAACGCGGUCUUCUGCCCGCAGCGACGCAGACUGGGCUGUAAUCCGGGCCUCCUGGGCCAGCAGGGCCUGGCGGGCCUUCCCCAGCGCAGGUUCCCAUGUUCAUUUAGGCCCCGCGACGCCCGGCGGGACGCCCUUCCCUUUAGGGACAGGGGCGCGGGGCGGGGUCGCCGGUCGCGCGCGGGCACACGGGCACGCACACACGCGCGCGCACAGACGCUCCCGGAGCCGUCAGAGGAGGCGAAAGGAACCAAGAAGUGAAAGUGAGCAACCUCUAGUGAAAGAAAUAGACAUGCACAGACAGCUCGGAAACUGACGCGGUGCCAGCGAGCCGGCCUUCCCGGGCGCGCCCGGGUGCGCAGGCAGCGCGUUCCCCAAGCUGGGCGCGCGCUCGGCGGCCACCGAGGAGGGCCUGCCACUCGCUCGCGUCCCCCCAGUUCCUUUUCCUGCUUCUUGCUGCCUCCGCCUCUCAAGCAGCCGGGAGGUCCCCGCGCGAGGCCCCCAGCGGGCGCCCCAGGAUCCAUCGGGUCCCCCACGAUCCUUCACGCCCUGGACCCCGGCAAAGCGCGGCUGGGCCCAGCCUUGAACCCUGGCGGCCGAGGGUCAGAGAGCUCUGGCGUUUGAGUCCUUUCGCCCACCAGGCCCGGGCUACCUGCAGAGUGGAGGCCUUUGCCCUCCCCCGCCUCCCCCGCCACCCGUCUGCACGGACUGUCCCUGCGCUGCGGCUCCCGGGAGCGCCCAGGCCCUGCAGUGGUCACUGCACAGAUGACUUUGGCAAUAGCCAUCUCUUGGAGAAGGAACUUCCAAGUGACAGUCCUGAGAGGCCAACGGCCAGUCGGCUGAUGUGAGCAGCGCCUGGCAGCCUCAGAAGGGCUCACCCUGCCCGCCUCCCUGCCCCCACCCUCCCUGCACUAAACCAGCUUUUCCAGCUCUGCAGCCUGGUCAGGUUUCUGGCAGGUGUGGGUUGUUUUCUGCCCCUGGAGCUUGGGUGGGAAAAGAGAGAGGUCUGAGAAGCUGGGUGCCCACCUAGUGCUCUGCCAUGCCUGCAUCCCCACUCCAGAGGCCCCCCAGGGACUCUCAGUGUGGAAACAGACCCCAACUUAACAGAAAAGGCUGGGAUGCCUGUUGGCUGAUGAAGUCAGGCCUUUUGGACAGAUAUCAAGCAGAAGCCAUGACUAGUGAUAAGGCUCCCCUUCCCUCUGGGUUUCGAGAGCCACAGUUUCGAGAGCUUGGUGGGCAGUAAACAGCCCCAAAGCUUCUCAACAGACACAGAAGGGUGUGGCUUCUUCCCAUUGGGAAGCUAUUGGUGGGAGGGUUGCCAGACCCUUCCCAGAUCUUGUUUCAGCUGGGUGAGCCUGGGGACACUUGGCCACACAGGGUGUCCCCAACUAAGCUAGGAUGCAAAAAGAAAAUGCCUUGUCCCAGUCAUAGCCCAGUGGGAGACAGAGGGGUAAACAAUCAAAAUGGGGUGUGAGGACAGCUCUGAAGGAGGCCUGAGCCAGGGGGUGUCCCCUGGAGGCACCAGGAGAAGCAGGGAGGGUGCUCUCAGCAAAGGCAGCCACAUGGGAGUCUGGGGGGUGCCCAGGAAGCUGCAGACCCCAGAGGCCCCACAGAGCUCUGCAGACUGCCCAGUUGCAGAAAGCCUAGACCCACCAUCAAAAUCAAAAUAGGGGCCGGGCGCCAUGGCUCACGCCUGCAACCCCAGCACUUGGGAGGCCAAAGCAGGUGGAUCUCUUGAGGUCAGGAGUUUGAAACCAACCUAACCAACAUGGUGAAACCCUGUCUCUACUGAAAAUACAAAAAUUAGCUGGGUGUGGUGGCACACACCUGUAAUCUCAGCUAUUUAGGAAGCUGAGGCAGGAGAAUUCCUUGAACCCAGGAGGCAGAGGCUGCAGUGAGCCGAGAUCGCACCACCGCAUUCCAGCCUGGGCAACAGAGAAAGACUCCAUCUCAAAAAAAAAAAAAAAAAAAAAGACAAAAAAAAAAACCAAAGUGGGGAGCCCUCGGGGACUUGUGCCUCCUUUAAUGCUAAAGAUGGACAGACUAGGGGUCUGAGAGGUGGUGCCACCUGCCCAAGGUCACCCCACUGGCUAGUUUGGGCUGGGCCCUGGCACACAGUAGGUGCUUACUAAUGGGCUGUGAGGACUGGAAUCCGGGGAGCCAGAGAGAGGGCCACCGCCCUUCCGCCCCUACCAUCCCACAGAUCUUUACUGAGAGCCUUCCACUGCGCUGGGAGCUCAGCCACAUGCGGAAGACACGAAGAGCCAGGCAAAGAGCAGCCCCUCGGAGGAAGCCCACGACACCCCCUCCCUGAUGCAACCCUGGAUGCUCAC